rnacentral:lncRNA from 13 species
GCACCGAACAGACCUAUGUUCCCGGGUUUUGACUUGUACAAUGUGUGGUUACCAUCAUUAGUCUGAAUAGGUAAGGUACGUCAACAAUGCAUUUCGCUGAAACCACCACUGAAGUCUCAGUCAACAUCAUGGCAGCAUUAGGACUCCUAUGGCUUGUGAGCUCCGUAGCAUCCAUCCUUGUCAAAUGUGAAGAUGCAACAUCUGAACACAAAAAGAUCUACCCAGCAAAGAUAUUUGGACCAUCUAGCGUGACUGAAGGGGUAAACAUCAAUUUUAAAUGUAGCACUACUGGCAUCAGAGGACCUGAGGACAAGUUCAAUUUUUACCUUUGCAAGAAUGGAGUUGGGAUAAGAAUUGCGCUGCUGGAGAAAGGUGAAGAUGAUGCUAUUUUCGACAUGAAGAAUGUCACAAGAGAAGACUCAGGCAACUACAGCUGUGUGUACACCAGAGAUAAACUUGUACCCAGUCACUUGAGGUCAACAGGGGAUAAUUUAGUAGUCUUUCAGGUUGAUGGAGAACAGAAAAAGGGACUAAAGAAUAUGGGAGGACAAGGGAGAGCGGGACUGGCAGCAGCCUUGGUCCUCCUGUUUCUGACGCUGUCUGUACUGCUGUUAGUGUGGAGGUACUGGGGAAUCCUGAAACAAAUGAUAAGCAUUGACCAUCAACCAAGUGAGAAUCAGGAUACGGAUCAAACAUACAGUCUACUCUCAGUUGUACCAGGUAUUGUAUAUCAGUUCAUAUUUUUACAUUGCAUAUUUUGCAUCACAUAUUGUUCCUUUCCUUCAUUUCUUUAA